rnacentral:rRNA from 1 species
CAGUCGCCGCGGGAAUACGAAGGGGGCUAGCGUUGUUCGGAAUUACUGGGCGUAAAGCGCACGUAGGCGGAUAUUUAAGUCAGGGGUGAAAUCCCAGAGCUCAACUCUGGAACUGCCUUUGAUACUGGGUAUCUUGAGUAUGGAAGAGGUGAGUUGAAUUCCGAGUGUAGAGGUGAAAUUCGUAGAUAUUCGGAGGAACACCAGUGGCGAAGGCGGCUCACUGGUCCAUUACUGACGCUGAGGUGCGAAAGCGUGGGGAGCAAACAGGAUUAGAUACCCCAGUAGUCCCUGUCUCUUAUAC